UCGGUUGCAGGGGAAAUAUGCUCCAAAUUGGAGAAUGAUAAACAGUUGAGAUUUUCGGAAGGUACUCGACAUUCAUCUUAUGUUCGUGGUUGGUUUGAUGGAAUGAAAAAGUUUGAAGCCUUCAAUCAAACAAAGCAUUUACGAACCUUUCUACAGUUUCCUGGAUCGUCAUGGGCACCUGAAGGUGAUUGUUAUUUAAGUAACAAUGUCCUCUUUGAUUUGCUGCCCAAACUUCGGUGCUUAAGAGUUCUUUCUUUGAAAGGGUAUCGCAUCAUUGAGUUACCAAACUUUUUUCAAAACUUAAUACAUUUGCGCUACUUGGACUUUUCUCAUACUACAAUUGAAAGUUUGCCUGAUUCAAUUUGCGCCCUUUAUAAUUUAGAAACUUUACUAUUAUAUGGGUGUAGAUCUCUUCAAAAUCUACCCUCAAAUUUACAAAUUCUAGUCAAUUUGCGUGUUCUCGACAUCACUUAUACACCUUCAAUGAAAGGGAUACCGGUUGGAAUUGGUAACUUAACCAAUCUUCGAAAACUAUCUGAUUUUGUUUUGGGCAAAGGUGAUGGACAUCAUAUACAAGAGAUGAAGAAUUUGUUAAAUCUGAAGGGUAAGCUUUGUAUCUCAGGGUUAGAGAACAUUGUUAAUGCUCAAGAUGCAUGGGAGGCUAAGUUAAUAUAUAAGUCUGGCCUUGGCACAUUAGAACUAAAGUGGAGUAGAGAAUUUGAUAAUAAUAGAAAUAAAGAAAUUGAAGAAGAGGUCUUGAAUUUGCUUGAACCUCAUAAAAAGCUUGAAGAGCUCUUCAUUCAGGAUUAUGGUGGUACAAAAUUUCCGAUUUGGAUGAAUUCUUCAUUACAAAAUUUGUCGUCUUUGGUUCUCAAGGGCUGUAAAAAUUGCGUAUCACUACCAUCAAUUGGAAAAUUACCAUUGUUGAAGAAUCUUUCUAUUGCUGGAAUGGAUGAGUUAAAAAAGGUUGGCAUUGAGUUCUAUGGGGAGAAUCACUCAAAUGUAUUUGCUUUGUUACAGAGUUUGAGCUUUGAGAAUAUGCCACGAUGGAAGGAAUGGGACUUAGUUGAUGAGCAAGUUGAGAAAUUCCCUAGCCUCAUCGAGCUUUCCAUCAAAAACUGCCCUCAAUUGUUGGGAAGGUUGCCUAACCAUCUUCGUUCCUUGGAGAAGCUUGAAAUUCGUGACUGUGCACAAAUGGUGGUUUCACUUUCAGACCUUCCAAAGCUGUCUGAAUUAAUAAUACAUGCAUGUGCAGAGUUGGUGCUCAGAGAUGAUGCAGACUUUCUCUCAAUAAAAGGAGUCAAUCUUUCAAGUGUUGUAAAGUUUUCUACUGCAACAGAAAGGCUGGUAUCAACAUCAACAACAUUGGAGCAUUGUAAGAUUGACAGUUGUGAGGGAUUGACAUAUUUAUUGCUAAAGAAGUUGGGACUGUUGGGCUCUGUCCGUAAAUUGGAAAUUUAUAAAUGUCCACAACUUGUGUUGUUAGAGCCAGAUGAGGUAGAGGAGGCAGAAGAGGAGCUGUUUCAAGUUGGGAAUCUUUGGAAUAUUGAAUCUUUGGAAAUAAUGCAAAUUGGUCUCCAUAUGGAAUCUUUGAGAAUAAGAAAGCAUUUUCUCCCAUUUCUUACAGAGAUGAGUAUUCAAAACUGCCCAAACAUAGUUUGUUUUGCAAAGAACAACUUACCCCCGCUUUUGAAGAAGUUAGUGAUGGUAAAUUGCGACAAUUUGCGAUGUUUGGUGGAUGAAGGAGAAAAUAUAAGCAUCACUAACAUAUCUCCUCUUGAGUUUUUGUAUAUUCGUGAAUGUCCAUCUCUAAUAUCAUUAUCAUUACCCGUUAGGCUUCGACAUCUUGAACUUUCGAGUUGCUCAAAGCUAGCUUCCUUAUCAGAAAGUGGCAAGUUACCCAUAGGGCUUAAAUAUCUUAACCUUUUUGUCUGCCCAGAGCUCGAAUCCAUUGCAGAAGCAAUUGACGAAAACGCUUGUCUUGAAUUUUUUUAUAUCUGGGGGUGUGGUAUUAAAUCUUUACCGCAAGGAUUCGACAAGCUCAACCAUCUUCAGAGUAUUCAAAUAACUCGAUGUUCAAAUCUAGUCUCGUUGGAAGGGUUUUUGCCCACCACCAAUUUGACUAACCUUUGGAUCUCUAACUGUAAAAAUUUGCGAGCCCUGCCGAAUUGCAUGCACAACCUCACUUCUCUUCGACAAUUGCAGGUUGAGAAUGAUUCAGGUGAUCAGAUAUCCAUUCCAGAAGAGGGUAUCUCUACCAACCUAACAUCACUUUCCAUCUCAAUGCCCAGAAAUUAUGAGUCUCGACUUGAAUGGGGAUUGCAUAGACUCACCUCUCUUAAAACACUUACCAUUACUGGUAGAGGAUGUCCGAAUAUGGUGGCGUUUCCACCAGAGCAGAUAGGAAUGAUGCUACCUUCCUCUCUCACCGAUUUGAGCAUUGUAAAUUUCGAAAAUUUGAAAUGCCUAUCCUCCAAAGGCUUUCAAAACCUCAGCUCUCUUCAUCAUUUGCGCAUCAUCUGUUUCCCUAAGCUCACAUCUCUUCCUGAAAAAGACAGGCUUCACUCGCUUUUGAUGUUAUUAAUUAUUGAUUGUCCAUUGCUAGAGGAAGAAUGCGAAAGGAACAAAGGACGAGAGUGGUCCAAGAUAGCCUACGUACCUUGUGUUGAAAGUCAUUAUCUCUGAUUCUUUGAUUGAGUUUGACACCCAAAGGAGUUGAAUUGAAAGUUGACUGUGAAAAUCACAGGUAUGAAACCAUUUGAAACGUAAGGCAAUUUAGAAGCUGCUCAUUUUUAACAACAAAAUGAAACUAAUAAUAAUAUUUCUUUUCAUUACUGAUUAUUUGCAGGCAAUUCAAAAGCUUUAGAAGGAAACUUGGUGGGAGACUGGGCUUCUCACUUUUUCAUCUAAAUGGCAGAAUCAGUGUGUAAUUAAUUGUUGGUUAGUAGACUCAUGCACAUACAACAACAGUCUACAGGACCCAACUGGUUUUUCUUCAACUUCAUCGUUGAUUUUGUUUUUUUUCGUUUUCAGACCUAUGAAAAUGCUGUAGAGGCUGAUGAAUGGAGUGGUCAGUUAAUUCUCUGCAACUCUCAUCUACAUUUUUAGGAUUUGAUAACGAUUUGAAAUUCUAAUAGAAUACUAUUGAGUUUUCUUCAUUUCUAUUAUGAUGAAUUUGGUGUAUUUUUUACGAAUUCAAAGUCUGCCAAUUCUAUUUUACUUGCCUAUACCUGGAGGACAUCCUUCACUUUAUUCUUUUAAUUUCACAUCAUUCUCAUUUGAUCUUUGUGUGACAAUUUCUCAUACUCCAAUCUAUCUUACUUUUCUUAAUUUUUUGGAGGAACUGCUUUAUAAAGAAAAGAAAAGAAAACAGAGGAAAGGAAUAUAAGAUUGGAUAUAUGUAGGUUAGAUGCUCCAUUUAAUUCGUUAACAGACUUUAAUUUUCUGCAUGUCUUAUGCUUGUGUGAAUAACAGAUUACUCAUUAUCUGGGCAGAAAAGGAAAUAGGUAUUAGAUCUCACAAGCAAACUUGGAAAAAAUUCAGUGAAUAGAUAUACCACAUCCCAUUCAAAUAGUUGAUUAAAUUUUGAAUGAUAACGAAGUGUUCAUUUAAUUGUACAGGCAGAAACCUGAACAAGAAUCUGAAUAAGGGAAGAAUGAAUUCUGGCCUUCAAAGGUAAUUUGUUGACCUAAUAAUCAAUACAAUUAAAUGGUGGCAUGCCAUUAGGCAACAAUGAGAAAAUCCUUCCUAAGUAAACCAUUUGAUGUAUAACUUUUAAAAGUUUGAGUUGGAACUCUCUCUAACCUUCAUCCUCAACUUUCAGAUAAUCUAGGUACUUAGGGAUGCGUUUGAUGUGCACUUAAAAAGUUGGAUAGGAUUGCAAAUAGAAAUCGUCGCAUACCAGUGAAAAACAAAACUUUACCUGACUUCAUAUGUACCCUUUGUAAUUUAGACACCUUGCAAUUAAAGUGAUGUCACGAGUUAGAAAAGUUACCCUGAAAAAUAGAAAUUCUAGUCAAAUUGCAUCAUCUUGACAUUAGUCAUACAAAUUCAGUGAAAGCAAUGCCCUUUGGAAUUGGUGGACUAACCAAUCUUUAAAAACUGUCUAAUUUUGUUUUGGGUGAAGGUGGUGGAUAUCAGAUAUGAGAGAUGAAGAAUUUGUGGAAUCUUAAGGGUGAGAUUUCUAUUUCAGGCUCGGAGAUUGUUGUUAAAGCUCAAGAUGCAUGGGAAGCUAAGUUGAUUGAUGCCCAGGCCUCAAUGAGUUGGAAGUGGAUUGCAACUUUUGAUAACAAUGCAAGAAAUAAAGAAGUUGAAGAAGUGGUGUUGAACUCGUUGAAUUAUGGCUGUCUUUGCUGCAUUGCUGCCACAGGGGAUUAGUUUCUACACAUUUGGAAACCAGCUUGGUUGGAGUCAGGGUCAGUUACUUUUUGCUCACCAAAUGUUUGAUUAUUUCUUUGGUCAUUUGUGCACUUGCUAGUUUGUGUUUCUUAGUUAUAUUUGGCUUUUUGAAUCUGUCACCAUGCCUUAUAAUGACAGUUUAUGCAGCAUUAGUUGAAAUAUUUUAUGUUUAGUUUAUUUUUAGAAGCAAUGUGUCAAAUAGUGUGAGCAGUUGAAGAUGCUUUUGUUCAGUGUCUUGAUUAUAUAAAUAUGUAUUCUCUUAAUGAAAAGUGAUGUAUGAAGAGCUGAAGUUCUGGUAUUUUUUGAGUUUUGUUUUCCCUCUUUGUUUUUCCGGCAAACUUUGGUCUCUUCAUGGAGAGUUUAGGAUGCAUAUCCUUAAGUUUUUUUUUAUCCAGCAGAAACCAAGGAUAACAUUUCCUUUAUCCCUGGUACAAACUCUUCAAAAUUUAUAACAGCAAAAACUAAGGUUUUUGCUUCUGCCUUCGGCUGCUUCUGCUUGGGUAGCCUUAGACAAGUAAUGUGAGCUCCCACUAAAGCCAAGAGAACUUUUUUGGUCAUCAUAAAGAGCUAAAAUAGCUCACCAUAAUAAUUAUGGGACUACCAAAUUUCCAACUUGGAUGGUAGAUUCUUCAUUACAGAAUUUAUUGUCCUUGAAUAUCAUGAAUUGUAAAAUUGCAGAUCUUACCUGCAAUUGGAAAAUUACCACUGUUGGAAUCUCUUUGCAUUGAAGGAAUGGAUGGAGGCUACCAAAGGUCUUGCUUUGGUCAUGUUCCUUGCAGAUAUACAGAUUGCCAAUGCCCAAGCAUGGUUUCUGUUUUAACGAAUAACCUGCUUCUGACUUGAAGAAGAUUGAGAAAUGAAGAUGGCAAGAAUUUACAGUGUUUGGUGGAUGAAGAAGAAGAUACUAGCACAACUUCACCUCUCUUAAGCCAGUUACGGUUGUUGGCUGUUCAGCUGACAUAUCUUUUCCAAAAGAGGAUUUCCCUACCGACCUAACAUCACUUGACAUCACAUCACCCAAUAUUUGUAGGUCACUACUUUAAUAGGGAUUGCAUAGACUCAGCUCUCUCAAAAAACUGUCCAUUAAUGGUGAAGAAUGUCCAGAUGUGGUGUUGUUUCCACAAGAGGCGAUAGGAAUGAUGCUGCCUCCCCCUCUCUGCGAUAUCAACAUAAGUGAUUUCGACAACCUGAAAUUUCUAUCCUCGGAUGGCUUUCAAAACCUCACGUCUCUUUGGUCUUUCGAGAUCACUGAUUGCUCUAAGCCCACAUCUCUUCCAGAAAAAGACAUGCUUCUCGCACUUUGCUAUUUUCAGAUUGAUGAUUGUCCUUUUCUAGAAGAAUGGUGCAAAAGGGAUAAAGGACAUACCUCAUGUUGAAAACAAUAAUGAACAAAAUUAUCCCAAAGAAGUUGAAAUCUAGAAAUUGAAAGUCAAAAGGUAUUAAACCAUUUGAAAGAUAGGCCAGAUAAUUGAAUUCUGAUUAUUUAUUCAUUUAAUUUUUGUUAGAUACAUAAGAUAAUAGUAAGUCUGAUAUGUUAUUGAUGAUAUAUAAUUAAUUUACAGCCACAUUGGAGGCUUGAAAGCUACAAAGUGCAGUUCGUAUAUAUAGCUCUAUUCAAAGAUCAGGUACAAGCUUCUCAUUUUCUUUUUCCAUUUCACUUGCACUUAAGCAUAGCAUGCUCAUCAAUCCACAACAUUUAACCAUUAAAACACUUGUGCUCCUCUAACUUCAGGUCUAAACACCUCUUGGUGUGAAUUUGUUGAUUCAUCAUUUUGGCUUACGAAACUGAUUAAAAAGUUCAAGGAUGAAAGGUGAGUUGAUUUUUUUCUACUUUUUUAUGUCAUGUACAUUGAAGAAUUGAAAAGUGAUUGUUAGAAUAUAUACGCAGUUUCAUGGACAAAAUUGUGUUUUAUUUUUUGGUAAGUUAUAUAUUCGUUCAUACAGAAGCAUAUUUGUUUUGAUUUCAGGAGAUUGCCAUUUUGUUAAAGAAAAUUUCUCUUUCUCCUUUUCCAUAUUAUCAAUUUUCUUUGUACGUGAUUACUUUAAACCACACGAAUUAUGCUUUCCUUGAGUAUGUUGGAUAGUGAACUACUUUCUGUUCUUUUAGUAUUUUAAUGUUCAUUUAUUUAGUCCUUUGCUUUCUGAGUUUGUAGAGAAUGGAGAGGAAAGGAAAAAUUACAUCCAUAAAAUUCUAAUUUUUUAUUAGAUUUUCCAUUUCAGACGAGUGUGUCCCCACCAAUUGAAUGUUACUUCGAAUCUCUGCUGCUAAAAUCUGUAUACCAUUAUUACAUUGGGGAGAGCACAUACGAAUCUGUCGUGGACAACUUCCCAUUGGUGGUGCUAACGAUGCAGCCGGCCACCUUUCAAACUUUCCUUGUCACCAAGAAGUUCCUAAAUUUGGAAUACCAGCACUGCAAGGGUUUUCAGAGCAUCUCCUUCCUCAAAGGUUUGUAUACUUAAUUGCCUUAAUCUAUAAAAAGGGAUAAAAGAUGAAGUGAUUAGAGAUAUCUCCUGUAUUAAUAAGUAAUAACAGAUUACUUAUAAGCCACAAGAGGAACAGUGAAAACUUGUUGUUUUUCAUCGAAAAAGAGCGAAAAAAGCAGAAUAUACCAUGCUUGUAAAUUCAAUCCUAGGUAUGUCAAUGGGAAAAUCCUCUCUCCUUUUUUUUCUUUGAACAAUUAAUUAAAACUUGUAUGAUCACCAAGUGUUGAUUUACUUGUACAUACAGAAGUCUGAACAUGAUUAGGAAACAGCAAGGAUGAAUUCAGCCUCCAGUUCUAAUCUAUUGGCCAUAAAAUCAAUGCAAUGCAGAGGUGAGCUUUUAUAUAUUGGACUAUAUUAAGAUUAUAUGCCUCACCAAUAGAAACAAUCCCUUCUUCUAAAUGAUAUAUGCAUGCAUAGUUCUAUUAUUGUAUUGAAUUUCCUCUAGCAGUCACAUAAUAUUGUUUCCACACCACUGGAUAUUACUUAUUAGCCACAGAAGGGAAAAACGGCAAGAAUCAGAGAAACUACCAUACUUGUAGAUAUAUGGUAUGUCAAUUGGAAAAUCCUCCUGUUCUUUUUACACUUUGAUAAUAAUUAAUUAAAGUUUUUAUGCUAACCAAGUUUUAGUCUAGUGUGUACAUGCAGAAAUCUGAGCAUCCAUAGGAAGCAACAACAAUGAAAUUUAACCUCCAGUUGUAAUCUAUUGACUGUAUAAUCAAUUCAAAGCAGAGGUGAGCAUUUUAUUAGACUACCUUAAGAUAAUAUCCCUCACCAAUGGACAGCCCUUAUGAUAAAUAACCUUUUGCAUAUCUAUUAGUUACUCAUCUUCAUUCUCAAUAGUGUGACCCUCAUUCACAAUNGGCUUACGAAACUGAUUAAAAAGUUCAAGGAUGAAAGGUGAGUUGAUUUUCCUCUGCUUUUAUAUGUCAUGUACAUUCCCAUUAAAAGAAAUGUCAUGUACAUUAAAGAAUGGAAAAGUGAUUGUUAGAGUACAUAAGCAGUUUCAUGGACAAAAUUGGGUUUUAAUUUGGUAAAUUACAUAUAUACUUGCCUUGUGAAAUUGUUAGUUGUUUAUACAGAAGCAUAUUUGUUUUGAUUUCAAGAGAUUUCCAUUUUGUUAAAGAAAAUCCAAGUCUCUCUUUCCUUUUCUAUGUUAUCAACUUUCUUUAUACCAUGCCAAUUAUGCUUCCCUUGAGUAUGUUGAACAGUGAACUAAUUUCUUUUCUUUUAGUAUUAUAAUGUUCUUGUAUUUAGUUUUUUGCUUUCUGAGUUCGUAGAGACAAUGUAGAGGAAGCAAAUAAAUUUCAUCCAUAAAAUUCUAAUGUUGUAUUGGAUUUUCCAUCUUAGAGGAGUGUGUCCCCACCAACUGAAUGUUACUUUGGAUCUCUGCUGCUAAAAUCUGUAUACCAUUAUUACAUUGGGGAGAGCACAUACGAAUCUGUCGUGGACAACUUCCCAUUGGUGGUGCUAACGAUGCAGCCGGCCACCUUUCAAACUUUCCUUGUCACCAAGAAGUUCCUAAAUUUGGAAUACCAGCACUGCAAGGGUUUUCAGAGCAUCUCCUUCCUCAAAGGUUUGUAUACUUAAUUGCCUUAAUCUAUAAAAAGGGAUAAAAGAUGAAGUGAUUAGAGAUAUCUCCUGUAUUAAUAAGUAAUAACAGAUUACUUAUAAGCCACAAGAGGAACAGUGAAAACUUGUUGUUUUUCAUCGAAAAAGAGCGAAAAAAGCAGAAUAUACCAUGCUUGUAAAUUCAAUCCUAGGUAUGUCAAUGGGAAAAUCCUCUCUCCUUUUUUUUCUUUGAACAAUUAAUUAAAACUUGUAUGAUCACCAAGUGUUGAUUUACUUGUACAUACAGAAGUCUGAACAUGAUUAGGAAACAGCAAGGAUGAAUUCAGCCUCCAGUUCUAAUCUAUUGGCCAUAAAAUCAAUGCAAUGCAGAGGUGAGCUUUUAUAUAUUGGACUAUAUUAAGAUUAUAUGCCUCACCAAUAGAAACAAUCCCUUCUUCUAAAUGAUAUAUGCAUGCAUAGUUCUAUUAUUGUAUUGAAUUUCCUCUAGCAGUCACAUAAUAUUGUUUCCACACCACUGGAUAUUACUUAUUAGCCACAGAAGGGAAAAACGGCAAGAAUCAGAGAAACUACCAUACUUGUAGAUAUAUGGUAUGUCAAUUGGAAAAUCCUCCUGUUCUUUUUACACUUUGAUAAUAAUUAAUUAAAGUUUUUAUGCUAACCAAGUUUUAGUCUAGUUGUACAUGCAGAAAUCUGAGCAUCCAUAGGAAGCAACAACAAUGAAAUUUAACCUCCAGUUGUAAUCUAUUGACUGUAUAAUCAAUUCAAAGCAGAGGUGAGAUUUUAUUAGACUACCUUAAGAUAAUAUCCCUCACCAAUGGACAGCCCUUAUGAUAAAUAACCUUUUGCAUAUCUAUUAGUUACUCAUCUUCAUUCUCAAUAGUGUGACCCUCAUUCACAAUAGGUUUAAGUAGAUGAACCCUGAUUGAAAGUACAUUGCAGUUCUCAAGUAAUGCGUAGAAUUAUUUUUUCACACCAGAACUGUUGUACAACUUGGCACACAGAGAUGCAAAGAGCUUAUGUAACAGCUUUCAUGGCUCUUUAUGCCAAGCUUUUUUUGCUUCUAAUAUUACAUAUUACCAUGCCCUGCAUGUUGCUUCUUCAGCCUUCAACACUAAUCUCUCUAUGUCAAUCCCAGUGAGUCUUCAAUCCCUCCAAAUGACCCAAAAAGUAUCACUAGAGGCAAAAAGUGUCACUAGCGGCAGCACCAAUGCUAACAUACAUCAUUGCAACAUGUCAUCACCUAAAGAGCAAUCAAUGUCAUUGACAGUCAAGAUUUUCUUUUCUAACACUAUGAAUCAGUUGGGUAAGAAUAACUUAUUAAAAAAUUUGCUCUUCAUUUAUCAUUUCUCUUUGCAAAGAAACUUCUUCAAAUUCAUCAGUAGUAUCAUCACUAAUAGAUUCACACUAAUCCCUUAACAAAUUUUCAUAGAUAGACUUUGUAAUGUGCCAUAAACUAGUUGAGCUUCAGUUUUCUUUUUCUUUUUCAUGAUUAUGCUAUAUAAAGUUUGUAUACUAUGGUAUUGGACUUCAGAAGGAUUAAUUUUCUUGCGCUUUUGAAUUGAGAUUAUGAGAUGUAUAAUAGAUUCAAGCUAAAUGUUAAUCUCUUUUUCCUACUCUUCGUCCUUUCUCUUUUAUCUUCUUCUUUGGCAAAUAAAGAGAUCCAACAAAUUUCAAUACAGGAAAUAAACUGAAUUUUUAUGGCUAUCAUCUGAUGGAUGUUAAGCCAUAAUGCAUGAGCAGGCCUUAAAUCUUCUUGUUUCGCUGAUAGCGAUCUAACUUCUCUGUCACUUGGCUGUGGCAAUGCUUAAAACUUCUGCAGAUCAAAACACCUUUUUCCUUUUAUUGGAUAUGUAUAGUGCAUGCCUUCAUUUUGUAUAAUCAGUAAUGUUCUUUGGCUUUUCAGAAGGUUCUUGUCUGUGUCAUCCCUGUGCCAAAAAGGAGCGUUACAAUGGUAGACGGGAGUUUUGAUGCAAGAUGUUCUAAAAAUGUUUUACCUCUGUUGGUGCCUCAUCCUUAGUCCCACGUAAGUCUCAUGAAUGGUUGGGAAUAGCUAAGUUAUUUUAUUGUUUUUUGACUAGAAUGUCAACAUGAUGUCAUGGUCUUACCCCUGAGGCCACAUUGUUUGACCAGGUGCCACAACCAAAGAAGCUGAAUGUCAAGUUUCCUACUAGUGUUAGUGUCAAUUUUUUAUAUUAAUAGUUAUUCUGUUUUUUCUUCUUGGUAUUUUAUGUUCCUUCAUUAAUAUUGGGAAUUUGGACCUAUGCAUUCUUUCAACCUGAUAUUUUAUUGUAAAAGAAAUGCCAUGAGCAUGGAUAACGGAUGUGGGCAUGAUAACUUGUCAAGUCACCAUACAAAAUUCAUGAAAGCAUAGUGAUUUGCGACCAGGCUGCCAUUGUUGGGAUUUUUGUUAUUGUGGAUUAUGGUGAUUAUUAAAGUCAUAACUGUGGCAAUUUUUUUCUAACAGGCUACUCGUUAUCCAUCACUUUAUGAAGCAAUCGAUGGGUUGUGCAACAGCUACUGAGCCAAGAUUAAAGCAGAAUGGAUUGUUGUGACAAAUUAUUGAUCUGGCACUACCAUGGAGUUUUCUACAGCACUAAUUCAUGGGAAAUAAAAAGCUGAUGAAGUCUUUAGGCCACUUGUACCUACUUUCACUGCAUUAUUUUUCAUAUACAUUCUUUUAGGGGAAAUGAGAAUGGGGGUGAGAGUGGGGAUGCUAAUUGGUAUAUCAAUAAAGUUUAUCACUGUUUGCUAAAGGAUACUUAUUUGUAUUCAGGUGAUGUGUCCUAACCAGGUAAUGGUUAUGCAAUCAGGGAGCUAAUCUCUACGAUCCAAACACAGAAAUUCAAUUAUAGCCAACUGGUGAGAUUUUUGCUUUGCUUUAUGAUUUUUACUUCAUCGUUUCAUAUAAUAGUUCACACAUAUCUGUCUUAUUUCUAAAGCAUAUCUCCAAUUAUAUUUACUUGCAUCUAGUUGAUGUCAGCAGAAUUUUAGAACUCAUCUGAGUUUCAAAAAUGUAUUAGUUCUAACUGUGUCUGACCAUAUACAAUAAAUAAUGAGAUAGCAUAAUGGGGAAUUCUUGGAAAAGUGAAGUAUACUUUAGAUAUACUUAUUAUUAUUGUCAUCGAAUGUCUGAAAAUAUUUGAUUUUUUUGCUUUUUGUUUAUAGCUCCUGAGAAAGGGAAAUGAGUGCCAAUAGUAAAAUCACCACAUAUUUGCAGAACCUGAGGUCUCCCAAUUGGGAAGGUGGGCAACACCUCACUUCAGUUCCCUUUCUAUAUAUAACUGUUAAUUAAAUUUUAAUUUUAAUACUUGAAAAUGCAGCAUGAUAAGAAGUUAUUGACCUUUCUUGGGAAGUAGAUUGAAAAUGUAGGGAUCAUUUGUAUGUUUUUUGCUGCUACUUUCCCUUUUUUUCUUAUGUUACUCAGGUCUCUCAUAUUUUCCUAUGUAAUGUAAUUGCAUAAGUUCAGGAAGAGUCAUGUCUAAAAUGUAACCACAAGAAUAUUUUAGUGAUGGCAGGUUCAGAUACUCAGGCAUGCCUCUUUCACCUAAGCACUGCUUGGGACCCUUGUGUCAAGAGGUUGAGGAGGAUUGCAAUUAUGUUCUAUAUUUAUGUCAAUUUUCUUGCAGUCCUGGUGCAAGUUACUUUCUCCGAUGAUGCUAUUUUGGUCUCAUCCCCUUUGCAUCAGAUUCCUGUUGCAAUGCGUUUGAGCCUUUUCUGGAUUACUCUGGUGGUUUACUUCCUAUUCUGCUGCUUCUCCAUGGCUAGUAAGAUAUGAGGCUGGCUUUAAUGAGAAACGGAGGUGGGUGGACGAGAUUAUUUUUCGUUGUAAGCUUUGUUCUCUGCAUUGGCGUAGACCUUUGGCUGAUGGCAUCUUGUUCUCGGACUAGGAUUCUGUGGCUUGCUCCCCUUCCUUCCAGUAACAUCUCCGUGGACCUGCUGGCUGCGGUUGAGUGUUAAGAGAUUCCUCUGGCUCUAUUCUAGCUUUGUUUUCUGGCCAAAUUGGUGUGCUAGACCAAUGUUGUUGAAAUAUAAUACUAUAUUUGCUUUGGAAAUUUUCUCUAGGACAUAUUGGAAAGAGAAAAAGGUGCUGGUGGUUGAAUGAGAUUCGACGGUAGUUGUGCCUUGGGUGAAAAAGUUUGAGGAUUGCCCAUGGAGUGUGUGUGUUACCUUCAAUUAGAUUGAUCCACUUAUUGCUGACAUUGGUGAAGUCUCCUUUGGUAAUAUCUGUUGGGAAGUUAACGGCCUUGCUGACUCUUUAGUGUGUAGAACUGGCAUGUUCAUGGCUUGGUGGUUCAGCAGGCUAUUAGUUUAUCUCCACCCUUUGGGCGCCAUUCUACCAGGCCUGUUAUUAGAGGUUUUAUGCUGUGUAUAUUUUUACGCUUUUGGGUGGUAGUGUAGUCACAGGGAGAUUGCUUGUUAUCUGUACAUGAACCCAAUAUAUAAGAACCAACUCAAGCCGCCACAAGAAUACUCAAGCAGUACAUCACAAGAGUCCAUAACUUUACCAGUAAGUUUUUAUAUUUUACACAUUGAUUGCAUGCUUCAUUCGUUAAGAACGAAAGAAACCAAAUGCUAACACAAGAAAGCACCUGGAGAAGCUUGUGUUUGGGAUUAGCUGAUGGAUGCAAACUAAAGUUAACAGAAAUAAUUUAGAAACUUUCUUCUUUCCCUUUGUAGAAGCAUACAUUGGGAGAUGAAAUUGAAGUUAUACAAGAAUAAAGCUAAUUAAGGGCCAAAGACAACCUUUCCACUCUGCAGCCUCCUUCCCAACCCAACAACAAAUAGCAAAACUUGCAUGAUGAACUCAUCUUACAUAAUGCCAUUUCUGUCUGCCAUAAGAUUAAGGCCUAGAAUUUUCAAUUUUUUUUUUUUUACUCAGCAAGAAUUUUCACUAUUGAAAAUUUAACGUGUGAAUAAAUUUAAAAAUAUUGGUAAAAUUAUAUUUUUUAAAUAUGAAUAAUAAUUAUGAAAAAAAAAUCUAUUAAUUAUUCACUUGACUUUACAAAAAAUAAAUACCAAUAAACUCGUUGUUCAUUACUUCUAUACCAUAUGUGAAUAGUCAUCAAAUAGUUGAAAUCAAAAUAAAGUAGCAUUAUUCUUUAAAAUUUUUCUCCAUCUCUCUCAUUUUUAUCUAUCUCUAUUUAACUUUUAUGUAUUUAUAUUAAAUUUUUUAUGUUUAUACAAAAUUGAGGUUCCAUGGUUUUUAAUAUAAAAAGUUAAAAAAAUCAUGAAAAAUUAUUUUGAAUAUAAAAAAGUAAUAGUAUUAGCUGUUAAAAAAAAGAAUAUAAUAUUAAAAUAUUAAAAAAAUAUAAUAUGAAUACCCUUUAUAAUAAUUUUAAUCAAAAUUAAAAUUUAUAUAAUUUAUUUUACCAAACAGUUUUAACUUAAUUUUAAAAUAUAUUAUUUUCAUAAAAACUUCCUAAUAACUUUUAAGUUAAAAAAAAAAAACCUAAACCAAACAUGCUCUUCGUAAGUUUCUACUUUGUUAAUGGCUCUAAUAUUUUUCCCUCUUUUUUAACUAUGUAUUUCGUAGUUUCAGGGUGGAUUUGAUGGUGUCAGGCAUCAUCUUCCUUAGGGAAGCUAGUGAACUUGCUCUAGAAGCCGGCAAAGCCAAACAUACCUUAUGGACCAAUAUGUGCGUCUUCAACUUGUCUUGGAGCACAUGGCUUACUCAAGGUAAUUUCAACGUCACUUUCUUGGAGACAUUUUAUGGAGAUUAUAUUUAUCCUAGUGACUUGGUCAAUUUAGAAACUUAUCAAACAAAUCAUGAACUUAGUACUUGAAAAGCCAUAAUCUAGUGUUGUUACAUGAAGUAGAUUCUAGAGAGGUGAUUCAAUUUCUUCCAAUAUAUUUUGCAGACGGCAAUUGCUAUUUAGAUUUAACCGAGCACUUCUGGACUUGACAAUUUUGAACUUAUCUUCAAAGAAGUGAGGAAAGGGAAUAAAGUUGGUCUGUAAUUGUGGUACUCUGUAAAAUUCUAAUUUUGUAUUGACUUUUCAUUAGCAGUCAAAUAAUAUUGUUUCCACACCCACUGAAUAUUACUCAUUAGUUACAGGAGGAAUUAUGGAAAACUAGUUGAGAUCAUAGAAGGGAAAAAGGGCAAAAAUCAGAGAAACUACCAUGCUUGUAGAUAUAUGGUAUGUCUCCCUUUUCUUUUUGCACUUUGAUAACAAUUAAUUAAAGUUUUUAUGGCAACCAAGUUUUAGUCUACUUGUGCAGGCAGAAAUCUGAGCAAGAGUAUGAAGCAGCAAGGAUGAAAUUUAGCCUGGAGUUGUAAUCUAUUGACUCUAUAACCAAUUCAAAGCAGAGGUGAGCUUUUAUUAGGCUACCUUAUGCCUCACCAAUGGAAAAUCCCUUACUGUUGUAUAAGUUGGCAUACAGAGAUGCAAAGAGCUCAUGUAACAGCUUCCUUGGCUCUUUAUGUCCUGCUUUUUCUGCUGCUAAUAUUACACAUUUACCAUACCCUGCGUUUGGGUUCNNNNNNNNNNNNNNNNNNNNNNNNNNNNNNNNNNNNNNNNNNNNNNNNNNNNNNNNNNNNNNNNNNNNNNNNNNNNNNNNNNNNNNNNNNNNNNNNNNNNNNNNNNNNNNNAAAAAAAAAAACCUAAACCAAACAUGCUCUUCGUAAGUUUCUACUUUGUUAAUGGCUCUAAUAUUUUUCCCUCUUUUUUAACUAUGUAUUUCGUAGUUUCAGGGUGGAUUUGAUGGUGUCAGGCAUCAUCUUCCUUAGGGAAGCUAGUGAACUUGCUCUAGAAGCCGGCAAAGCCAAACAUACCUUAUGGACCAAUAUGUGCGUCUUCAACUUGUCUUGGAGCACAUGGCUUACUCAAGGUAAUUUCAACGUCACUUUCUUGGAGACAUUUUAUGGAGAUUAUAUUUAUCCUAGUGACUUGGUCAAUUUAGAAACUUAUCAAACAAAUCAUGAACUUAGUACUUGAAAAGCCAUAAUCUAGUGUUGUUACAUGAAGUAGAUUCUAGAGAGGUGAUUCAAUUUCUUCCAAUAUAUUUUGCAGACGGCAAUUGCUAUUUAGAUUUAACCGAGCACUUCUGGACUUGACAAUUUUGAACUUAUCUUCAAAGAAGUGAGGAAAGGGAAUAAAGUUGGUCUGUAAUUGUGGUACUCUGUAAAAUUCUAAUUUUGUAUUGACUUUUCAUUAGCAGUCAAAUAAUAUUGUUUCCACACCCACUGAAUAUUACUCAUUAGUUACAGGAGGAAUUAUGGAAAACUAGUUGAGAUCAUAGAAGGGAAAAAGGGCAAAAAUCAGAGAAACUACCAUGCUUGUAGAUAUAUGGUAUGUCUCCCUUUUCUUUUUGCACUUUGAUAACAAUUAAUUAAAGUUUUUAUGGCAACCAAGUUUUAGUCUACUUGUGCAGGCAGAAAUCUGAGCAAGAGUAUGAAGCAGCAAGGAUGAAAUUUAGCCUGGAGUUGUAAUCUAUUGACUCUAUAACCAAUUCAAAGCAGAGGUGAGCUUUUAUUAGGCUACCUUAUGCCUCACCAAUGGAAAAUCCCUUACUGUUGUAUAAGUUGGCAUACAGAGAUGCAAAGAGCUCAUGUAACAGCUUCCUUGGCUCUUUAUGUCCUGCUUUUUCUGCUGCUAAUAUUACACAUUUACCAUACCCUGCGUUUGGGUUCAUCAGGCUUCAGCACUAAUCUGUCGAUGUCAAUCCCAGUGAAUCUUAAAUGCCUCCAAAUGAGGCAAAAAGUGUCAAUAGUGGCAGUAUCAAUGCUAGCAUAUAUAAAAAAAUAUAAAUAGGGUCACAAACUCCGACAUUUUGAACCCCUUGUUGCUCCAGUUUGUGUGAAUUGUUUGACCUAGGUGCCACAACCAAAGGAGCUGAAUAACAAGUUUCCUAGUUUUAGUGUCAAAUUUUUUAUGUUAAUAGUUACUCUGUUUUUCUUCUUGGCAUUUUAUAUUUAUUCACUACGAUUGGGAAUUUCUUAUAUGUGUUAUGUCUUUUCUUUAACAGAAACAGGGGAAACAGAAUAAAAAGGAAAGAAAGAUAAAUAAAAUUUAAAAUAAAAUGUAUUUAUUUGUUUUCAUAAACUUUUGAAAUGAUAGUGAACUAUGCGGUACUUAUAGGACUUUUCUUGCUGCCAAGCAGUGACAUACAAAAGCUAAACAUUUAAAAUGUUUCAUUUGACCUAGUAACUAAAAUAUUGCCACUACCUACAUCUUGGGAGCUUAGUGACUGUUUAGCUUGAUUUUUUUUUAACUUAUUUACUUAUUAAAAAUAGAAGUCAAUUCAAAUAGGAUUUUUGGCAAGAAAUUUUUUUAAAAAAACAAAAUUUAAAAAAAACCUUAAAGAAAAAAUUUGAAUAUGAACUUUCACUUCUCUUCUUUUCAAAAUACAUCAGCUUUUCAAAAAAUACUCAUCUCUCUCUCAAUCAAUCUCCCUCUACUCUCCCUCCUUCUACAAAUCACUUUUUUCUAACAUAAAUGACAAUCUCCCUCUCUCUCUACAAAGACUACUAGAAAAAAAAAAAAAAUCUAGCAACAGAAUAACAAAAUUUAAAGUUUUUUUGUUUUUACAAAAAUUAAAAAGGAAAAAAAAUCUAAAAUUUAAAGCUGCAUUUAGUAACUAUUUAAAGAUUUUUUUUUUUUCACAAAAAAUGAUUUUAAUAUCAAAUACAUCAUUUUCUCUUUUUUUUUUUGUUGAGGAAUUGAAGCAUCAUGGUCUGAUUAUUUGUUGGAUUAAUAAAAAUCUAAUACUAUUACUAGUACACAAGUUUGAGCAUUAUUUCGUUUUUUUAUGGAUUUUUUUAUUUUACCAUCUAAAAUCAUAUAUAAACUCAAAACAAACUUAUUCUGCUUUAAUUUUUUAAAUGUUUGAAAAUGAUAUGAAUACGCUUUAUGAUAAUUUUAAUCAAAAUUAAAAUUUAUAUUAUUUAUUUUACUAAACAUCUUACCAAACAACUUUAAUUUAAUUUUAAAAUAUAUUAUUUUUCAUAAAACCUUUGUAAUAGUUUUAGAUUAAAAAAAAGCUAAGCUAAACAGUUUCUUUGUAUGUUUUAACUUUGUUAAUGGCUCUAAUAUUUUUUCCCUUCUUUUUAACUAUGUAUUUCGUAGUUUCAGGUGGAUUUGAUGGUGUCAGGCAUCAUCUUCCUUAGGGAAGCUAGUGAAUUUGCACUAAAAGCCGGUAAACCCAAAACAUACCUCAUGGAGCAAUACGUGCAUCUUCAGCUUGUCCUGGAGCCCACGGCUUACUCAAGGUAAUGUCAACAUCACUUUCUUGGAGACAUUUUAUCUUGGUGACUUUGUAAAUUUGAAAACUUAUCAAACAAAUUAUGAACUUAGUACUUGAAAAGCCAUAAUCUAGUGUUGUUACAUGAAGCAGUUUCUAGAGAGGUGAUUCAAUUUCUUCCAAUAUAUGUUGCAUUAGGGAAUUGCUAUUUAGAUUUAACCGUGCACUUCUGGACUUGACAAUUUUGAACUUAUCUUGAGCAAAUUUAAGAUUGCUUAUCUUGAAAGAAGUGAGGAAAGGGAAUAAAGUUGGUCAGUAAUUAUGGUACUCUGUAAAAUUCUAAUUUUGUAUUGAAUUUUCACUAGCAGUCAGAUAAGAUUGUUUCCACACCCACUGAAUAUUACCCAUUAGUCACAGGAGGAAUUGUGGAAAACUAGUGGAUAUCAUAGAAGGGAAAAAGGGCAAAAAUCAGAGAAACUACCAUGCUUGUAGAUAUAUGGUAUGUCAAUUGGAAAAUCCUCCCUUUUCUUUUUGCACUUUGAUAAUAAUUAAUUAAAGUUUUUAUGGUAACCAAGUUUUAGUCUAGUUGUACAUGCAGAAAUCUGAGUCCGGUUGUAAUCUAUUGAGACCAAUUCAAAGCAGAGGUGAGCUUUUAUUAGGCUACCUUAUGCCUCACCAGUGAAAAAUCCCUUACUGUUGUACAAGUUGGCAUACAGAGAUGCAAAGAGCUCAUGUAACAGCUUCCUUGGCUCUUUAUGUCCUGCUUUUUCUGCUGCUAAUAUUACACAUUUACCAUACCCUGCAUUUUGGUUCUUCAGGCUUCAGCACUAAUCUCUCUAUGCCAAUCCCAGUGAAUCUUGAAUGCCUCCAAAUGAGGCAAAAAGUGUCAAUAGUGGCAGCAUCAUGCUAACAUAUAUCAUUGCACCAUGUCACCAGCGGAAGAUCGAUCAAUGUCAUUGAUAGUCAAGAUUUUACUUUUCUAACACUACAAAUCAGUUGAGUAAGAAACAACUGACUAGAAAAUUUGCUCCAUUUAGCAUUGCUCUCUGCAAAGAACUUGUUUGAAUUCAUCAAUAGUAUCACGACUAAUAGAUUCACACCCAUCCCCUAAUAAAUUUCGUAGAUAGACUUUGUAAUGUGUCAUAAACUAGUUGAGCUUUCAGUUUUCUUCUUUCUUUUCAUGAUUAUGCUAUAUAAAGUUUGCAUCCUAUGGUAUUGGAAAUUUGGAAGGGUUAAUUUUCUUGUGCAUUUUGAGUUGAGAUUAGAGAUAUAUAAUGGAUUCAAGCUAAAUGUUAAUCUCUUUUUCCUACUCUUCCUCCUAUCUCCAUUAUCUUCUUAUUUGGCAAAUAAAGAGAUCUAACAAAGUUCAAUACAAGAAAUAAACUGAAAAUUUUGAUGGCUAUCCUCUGAUGGAUGUUAAGCCAUAAGCUACCCCGCAUUGCAGCAUGAGCGGGCCUUAAAUCUUCUUUUCUAGCUAAUAGCAAUCUAACUUCUCUUUCACUUGACUGUGGCCAAGCUCAGAACUUCUGCAAAUGAAAACACCUUUUUCCUUUAUUAGAUAUGCUUAUAAAUGUCAACAUGAUGUCAUAGCCUUGUCCUUUAUUAGAUAUUCACUACGAUUUGGAAUUUCUUAUGUGUGUUAUGUCUUUUUUUUAACACUGCUUCCGCUUCCAAAGUGUUAAAUGGUAAGGCAAACUUCUUCAAACAGUUCGUGCAUUUAGUUUCAUAGAACUGCUUUUUUCUUUUAAUUCCUUCUGUGCUUCGAGGUUUUUUUGGCUGUUUUUGAAUGGGACUGAGCUGAUGGAGGCUUUUAUAAUAAUAAACCUAUUGAGGAGAUGAAAGAUAAUGUGACAGGGGAUUCUGUCAACAAGAAGCUUUGCAUGCUUGCCACAGUGUCAAUAUUGUUGCUGAUGCUCUUAUCUCUGAUUUCAAUGCCAUGGUUGUCAAUCUCAUUGCACCCCCUCUAGGCUGUAAGUGCCUCUCUCUGUUUGAAUGAUGCUUGUGUUUCUGAUUCCAUUUUUUUGUUGUUUGAGCUUGAGAUUUCCUUUUGCAAGACAGUUCCCAAAUUUUGUGUUUGAAUUUGGAAUUUGGACCUCUGGAUUCUUAGAAAAUAUUUUAUAAAACAGUGUCUAACCGUAUACAAUGAAUAAUGAGAUAGCUUAAUAGGGGAUUCUUAGAAAAGUAAAGUUUUAGAAAUAUUUAUUAUUAUUGUCAGAAAGGGCAGGAAAGCGGCACAGAAUCAGAGAAUAGGAAUAUUCUUAUUUCACAAAAGUAGGGAAAAGCCUUUACAAGGUUUAUAUACAAAGAUUCAGUAUAAAGCUAAAAAGGAAAAACAAGUCAUUAAAGCAUAACUAACUAAUCAGUACAUUAACUAAUUUUUGAAAUAAAACGGUGCAGCUUUGAUUUCUUCUCCUUUUAUUGAAACGUUGCCUACAGGUCUUCUCUUCUUCCUUUCUACCCCAUUUUUAUUGAAACGGUGCGUUGGGGUCUUCUCCUUGUGACUGUCUUCUUUUCAACCCGAUCACCUCUGCUCAGGUCAGUCACUUAUUCAGCUUUUCAAUUCUUCAAGUGUAAGUUCAAUAAUUAUUGCCAUCAAAUAUCUGAAAGAGAUUUGAUUUUUACUUCUUUUUUAUAGCUCCUGAGAAAGGGAAAUGAGUGCGAAAAGUAAAAUCACCUCGAGAUAUUUGCAGAACUCGAGGUCUUUCAAUUGAGAAGGUAGGCAGCACCUCACUUCAGUUCCCUUUCUAUAUGUACCUGUUAAUUAAAUUUUAAUUUUAAUUUCAAUAUAUAACAUUUCUUGGGAUGUAGAUUGAAUUCUGCUUUGGGUUUGUAGGGAUCAUUUGCGUGUUCUUUGCUGCCACUGCAACCACUGCUGCUGCUACUUUUGCUUUUUUUCAUAGGUUACUCAGGUCUCUCUUAUUUUCCUAUGUAAUGUAAAUAUACGUAAUUGAUUUCUUUACAUCACAAGUCCUAGAAGAGUCUGGUCUAAAAUGUAACCACAACACUGUUUUGAUGAUGGCUGGCAGGUUCAUUUACCCCCAGAGAUAGGGCGUGCCUCUUUCAGCUGAACACUGUUAAGGACCCUAGUGUCAAGAGAUUGAGGAGGAUGGCAAUCAUGUUCUAUAUUUAUGUCAAAUGUUCUUGCAGUUCCGGUGCAAGUUACUUCCUCCCAUGAUGCUAUUUUGGUCUCAUCCCUUUUGCAUCAAAUUCCUCUUGCAAUGCUUGUGAGACUUUUCUGGAUUGCUCUGGUGGUUUGCUGUCCAUAUAUUCUGCUGCCUCUCCAUGGCUAGUAAGAUAUGAGUCUGGCUUUAAUGAGAAAAAGUGGUGGGCUGAUGAGAUUAUUUUUCUUUGUAAGCUUUGUUCUCUGCAUUGGGUUAGAGCUUGGGCUGAUGGCAUCUUGUUUUUGGACUAAGAUUCUGUGGCUUUAAGGAGACUUGGUGAAGUCUUUGAAGCAUGUUGCCCUGUCAAAUUUAUCACCUGUUGAUUGUCAGUGGCAUCCAGAAGAAGUGAAUGGUUAUCUAUCACCUCUGCAAGCAGCUGGAUUUCCAGUUCUCUUUCUCCCAUUUGUAUUUUUUCCUUCCCCUAAAAAGUUGCCAAGAUAGGCCUUGGGUUUCUUCCUAUGUAUUUCAACUGUUUGUUCAUUCAUAGCUCCCUGUGUAUCACAACUUGUCCUGAAAAUUUUAAUUUAGUAUUUCAAUGAAUGAUGUGGCUUACUCAUAAAGUCAAAUUCAAACUUCCUUAAUAUAAAUUCGGCAUCUACCAGUCAACUAUCUUAUAACAUUCUAGUGUUUGGUCACUAUUAUAGUUCGACGAGACUAUAAAAAAAAUCUUAGUAAGUUCUUAUUACGAUUAAAUUCAAGUUUAUUGAAUGUUUCUAAUCAAAAUUUUUAUAAAUGAUUGUAAUUGAAUGUCUCAUGAAUCAAGGUAAAAUUAAUUACUAAGUAAUUUUAAUUCAAUUUUUUGAUAGUUUUAAUAGCUAAGCUAUACCUUGCACUUUUCAUUAACACUUGCCAACACAUUUAUUAUAAUUCUAUUAAUUAGGUACUUGUUUAUUGCCAAAUAUUUCUUCUAUAAGGUUUGCUUGUGCACUCCAUUGAUAUUUUUUUUUUGGAAUUUAAAAUAUAUUCUUUUACAUUGUCUAACAAUUCAACUGUCAUAUUUUUUUACAAAAAUAAACACCAAUAAAGUAGUUGUUCAUUAUUUCUAUACCAUUUGUAAUACUCGUCAAAUAGUUGAAAUCAAAUAAAGUCAUAUUAUUCUUUAAAAUUUUUCUUCAUUUGUCUCAUUUUUAUUUAUCUCCAUUUAACUUUCACAAAAUAUAAAAAAAAAUUAUUUUGAUGUAUUUAUAUUAAAUUUUUUAUUUUUUUACAUAAAUUGAGGUUUCAUGGUUUUUAAUAUACAAAAUACAAAAAGAUCAUGAAAAAUAAUUUUUGAAUAUAAAAGAAAUUAAAAUUAAUAAGGAAGUCAUUGAGCCUAAGAUACCUGUCUCAUCUAAGCAUUUCAUGCAUGAAUGCUUUUCAUUUUUUAAUGAAAAGUAGUAAUACAAUAUUUACAUUUCUCUACAACUAUUACAUAAAUAAGCCAAUAUUUUCAUUGGCAGAAAUAUUACAUUUGGAUAUUUUUCUACAUUCGAUGCAUUGGCAGUAUUUUUUUUUUAACGUUAUAAGUAAGUUUAAAGGGUUGACAUGUAUUCAUUUAGGUAUAUUUUAAAAGAAAAUAAUGAAUUGUUUAAUUCUUAAAUAAACAUAUAAAAAUUUUAAUCUCACUUGUGGAAUUAAAAGAAUUUACUAUCAAUAUACAAAAUAAUAAUCUAUUUUUUCAUAAAACUAAGCAAACUCAUCACUUUAAUUUUUUCAUUCUCUUUUUUUUUUUUGCUAUAUUUUUAUACUUGUAGGGUUACUCACAUUUUUCAAGUAAUUAAAUUUAUUUAUCAUAUGAAUAAUUUUUAAAAAAAUUUAUUAGAAAAUAAAAAUAACUAGGGUUUGGGGAAGUAAGGGGCAAACGGCACUGUUUAGGAGAGAUAACAACGUAAAAAAAUAUAAUAAGGUUUAAGUUAUCCUAUGGAUGAUACCCAGAAUGUAUCCAAAUUUGAGUUAGAUAUUAAAACUUUAUCCAAACUUGCUACAUAAUCAAAUAUAGGGUACUCAAACUUUAUGUUAUCAAGUCGGAUAUCCGUAGAUCUAUUGUAUAACAAUUUCUUUAGGAAACUAUUGAUUGCCUGUACUUAUACCAAAAGGAAUGAACAAGUUAUUUUACUAUAAAUAACAAUAGGACCACUAUAGCAAAAAAAGAGAAUUGCAAGUAAAUGAAAAAUUUUCUACACACUAACUUUAAAGUUUUUAGUUAACAAAUUAAAAAAUUGUCUUAUGAUUGAUUAGAGUAUGUUUAUUGAAAUCAAUAAAUUGUUAUAAUAAUUAAAUAAAUAUGCUAUAUAUAAAAUAAUAAUUUGGCCAAAGAAAAGAGGACAUACUAUUAAAUCAAAAUUUGAACCAACAUGAACCCACCACCACUAGCUUGUUUAGUGCCCAUUUCCUUUAUUUUCCAUGAAGAAGAAUUAAUCAGCCAAGUAACGAUAAAAAAAAGAAAGAUAUUUAAAGAAAUUUUGAUAAAACAGAAUAAAUUACAAAUAUAAUUUUGUUUUGUUGAAGUAUUUUGAAGCACAAAAUUGAGAAAGACCAAUAAUUAAAUAAGCUUUGAUUGAUUUAUUUGAUAAUAACGAAAUCUGUGAAUACCAAAAGGCUGAAAUUAAGUAAGGAAAUGCUUCAUUUUAAAGAGAGAGUAAGGAAAGAAGAAGCAAGUAAAACCAUGGAAAGAUGCAGUAAAAUUAAGAGAGCAAUGAAUGAAGGGAUUAAUGAAUACUUCGGCACGCACCUAAGGACAUGUGAAUUUGUUUAAUAAAUUUUAAAUUGUUUCCAAAGGGAGAGGAAUAGUUGUGAUCAAAGUAUUGGAACACGUGGCCGUACUGGUUCUUUAACUUGGUUUUGCCUUUAUUCAUGGCAGAAACAAACAGAAGUACUACAGUACCCUAAAUAGUCCAAUAACCAAAUUAUUACUACUCACUAGAAUUGAACCCCUACUUUGCGUUGCGGCAAAAUGAAAGAAUAUUUAUUUCGUUGGAUAGAAAACUUUUGAGUUAGAAUUGUUUGUCUUAAAUUAUGUGUUUGUAAAAAUAUCUAUACACAAAAAUUAUUGUAAAGGUAACCACAAAGUGAAUAAUUGUUACAUGGUUGUUCACAAUUUUAUGUAUUAAUUUUCAACUAACUCACAAAAAGUUAAUGCUUAUGAAAAAAAUUAAGAUAAAAUAUAAAUUGUUAUGAAUCAGAAUUAUAUUGUGUUGUUACUAUAAAAGCUAUUAAAGUAAUUUCGUAACUUAAGUAGUUUCUAUUAAAUUUAAUAGAGUAGUAGAGUAUACUGAUUUGAUCAAUAUAUUCCCAACAUUACUGUUAUAUAUUAACUUAAUUAAGAAUAAAGUAACCUAUUUUUCAUAAAAAAACCAACAAAUUCGAACAAAAUUGAAUAAAUAUCUAAAUAAGAUACAUACAAAAAAAUAAACUGAAAAAAAAUAACAAAUUUUUUGUGCUCAAAUACAAAGAUAAGAAACAAACAUAAGGAGGCAGAAAAGAAAUUAAUUAAAAAAUACCAAGCAACUCCAUAUCAGAUUCAAUUUUGUAGCUUUCAUGUGCUCUUAUGAAUAAAUUUUUUACAAACUAUUUAUAGAAAUAAUUACAUAGUUGUCAUAUUAAAGAGACUAAUAAGGAUAGCAGCACACCGAUAAAUAGUUUGUGAUUCUUUUAUGCUAGCUGCUUUGACCUGAGCAUGUGAAAGAAGAAAAAAAAUAUUAAUGGCAGAAAGAAGGAGAAACUAAAGAGAGGUUUGCACAUGAUAUUCAUUAAAUUAAGAUGUUGUAUAAAUAUUUUUUUACAAUCAAUAAUCCAUGGAUUAUAAUAUAAAACUUCAAUGAACGCAAAUAAAAGGUCAUAAAAUAACUAAAUGAUUAUGAAUGAGUAACAAAUAAGGAACCAAAACAAAUUGAAAAUUACAAUCAGAUAAGGCAAGCAAAAAUAAUAGAAAGGAAAGAAACAGAGAAAAAACAAUUGUUACAAAGACAAAAAAUCAAAACUUGAUGAUAAAUAAAAACAAUGAAAUCAGAAACAUGUGAUCAUAAAAAUAUUACCAUAGAUUGUGACAAUCCUUGUCUUCGGACGUGUAACUUGGUAGUUAAUAGAAACUUCUAAUUAAGAGGAGUGGGAUAAAGAUUAAAGAGAAAUAUUUUAAUCACCUUUACUUGGACUUCUUUUUGGGUGUUCUUACUUCGCACUAAACUAUUUCCUUUAAUGCUUCGCCAGUCUUUGCCCAUCACCAAGAAAUCAUUUGGAACAUCAAAUUAAAAAUGCUGAUAAAUGUAAAUGUCAACAAAAAAAAAUAAAAAAUGACUAAAACAAAUGUAAAUAGGUUUGUCACUUAGGCAAGCAGCAAAUAAAUAAUUUGACUGCGCAAAGAUGUAUAGAAACACAUAAGUUGAAGUUAAAAACCUUUGCCUGAAUUAAUUGUACAUCCUUCACCACAAACUCUGCAGCUUUGUUAUGAUCCUCUCUUUGAAGGACAGAAUAUACAUCGUUGACUAGAGCCUCCUCAAAGUUUAAGCCACAAAAGUUGUCAAAUCAAUAUCUCCAUAAGAAAGAUAGAUCUUCAAGGGAUUGAUCCAAAUGGAAUUACUUAUAAUAAGUAUAAAUAAAAUAAAUAAUUAACAUCUAUUUAAAUUGUUCAGUAAUUCAUAUUUAACGUUCUUACGUUCAUGAUCGCAUCAAUAAACAACCAAUGAAAAAUCAUAAGAAUUUAUUCUCAACAGAUUAAAGAUGAAAAAAAAAACAUCAAAUGGCUCAUUCAUCCACCACAACUAAGAGAUAUGGCUAUCACUAUAACACAAAAGCACAACUAUACAAAUAAAUAAUGGAAUGAAGGAAAAAUUAUUUUUUAAAAAUACCCUAUAUGAAAUGGGAGUAAUCAAAUUUCUUUUUAUAUAUUUAAUGGAGUUAAGAAACAACAAUGAAAGCCGAAAAGAAAAAAAAAGGGGACAAAACAAAACUGGGAAAAGAUAGAUAGUAGUCAAAAAUGAAAAGAAAACCCUUGAGAAGAAAAACGCAAAAUCAAAGUAGAGAAAGACACAAAACACAGAAAAUAAGAAAGCAAACUAGCCAAACUCAAAGGGAGAAAUCAGCAAAAACAGAGCAUACAAAUCAAAAAAUGAAGGACACAAACUCGAAAGAACAGAAAGUAUGGCCUUAGAGUAACCAAAAUAAAUAAAGACAAACUCCUCACCCAAAUUUGAAAAUCAAGUCAGACGUGAAACGAAAGCAUGAAAAGCAAGUUAAGCACGUCAUUCCAUUAAAAUCACACACGUGUUUUGUCUGAAAAAAUACGCAGUUCGAGACACCAAACACAUCACAACACCAACUUGGCUCCUCCAACCUUCACGUGGUAAAACUUGGGGACCUGUUGGAGCAUGAAAGCAUUUUACACAAUACCAAGGACUUGGAUGAAAAUGCGUUCAAUGGAUUGACGGGGGUAAAGAUUUUUUUUUUAAAUGUUGCUUUAAUUUAAUUAUGUGUUAAUUGACUCUUCUCUAAAUUGACUUACUCAUUAUGGAUUUAUAAAUUAAAAAUGUGAACAUUAUCUGAGUUGACACGUGGAUAAAUAAGGAAGCCCUUUUGGGGCUUCGUUUUACUUACGUUAUAGAUACUUGUGAAUGCCGUUGAUGCCUUGUCACUAUGAAGAAGGUAACACAUGUAUAGCUAGAUCUAAGAAUAGUACUAGCCUAUCUAUUCCCCGGUUGUUUAUCACGCAAAGGGCGAAGAAUCUUUCAAAGUUCGAUAAGUACUUUAUUGAAAGUACGAAUUUGCUUUUGAUGACUCCGUGCCAGCUUUUUCCUUGUCUUUUUCCCACACUGCCGCUGGCCUCCAACAAACUACUGGUCAUGGGGUCUUUAUUCCAAUGCCUUUACUCAAGUGUUAAGCUACCCCACACAAACUCUUUUAACUUUCACACAGCAAAAAACACCUCUUUUCCACAUACGUACUUCGAUCUCCAUUUUUGAUUUCUCUCUUUCUUUCCUGAGCAUAACUAUCAUGUCUUUUCUUGGGGAGGUUGCUCUCACAGCUUUCUUUGAUGGGUUGUUUGGCAAGCUAUCCUCUUCUGAUUUCCUCAACUUUGUAACUGAAAAGCAGGUCUUCCAGGAGAUCAACAAGUGGAAAAAGAUGCUGCGGGAUAUCCGUGCCGUGCUUGAUGAUGCAGAGGGGAAGCAGAUGAAGGAUCAGUAUGUGAAGAACUGGUUGGCCGAUCUUCAAGACUUGGCUUACGAUGUUGAUGACAUUUUGGACGAGUUUGCCACUGAAGCUUUGGGGCACAAGCUGACAUCCUUGGAGGAACCUCAAGGCAUAAAAAAUAAGGUACAAAAGAUCAUUCAUGCUUGUUUCUCUUCAAAAACUUUCAUGUUUAAUAAUAAGAUGAUGUCCAAGAUUAAAGAGAUCAGUGCUAGAAUGAAUGAUUUGGCCACACAAAGAACUCAAUUGGAAUUGCGAGGCAUUAAUGGGGGAGCAAGGUCCAACAGACUGAUACAAAGGCUUCAGCCUACUUCUUUGGUGGAUGAAACUCAGGUGUACGGUAGGCAAGAAGAAAAGGCAGCAUUACUUGAAUUGCUUCUGAGCAAUGGUGGUACUGACAAUGAAGCUUCUGUGAUUCCCAUCGUUGGCAUGGGAGGAAUUGGCAAGACAACUCUCGCACAACUUGUCUACAAUGAUACUAGGAUACAAAAUUCUUUCCAUGACAAGGCGUGGGUAUGCGUUUCUGAUGAUUUUGAUGCCGUUAUGAUAACGAAGACAAUUCUACAAUCAAUUGCUCCUGAUUCUUGUACCAAUAUUAAUGAUUUCAAUUUGCUUCAAGUCAAGUUGAAGGAGAAGCUGGCUGGGAAAAAGUUUUUGCUUGUCUUGGAUGAUAUCUGGAACGAGAAUUAUCUGGAGCUGACCAACCUACUCUCUCCAUUCAGAGUUGGAACCAAAAUUCUCAUUACAACACGGAGUCACAAUGUUUCUUCUAUUAUGGGCACUGUUAAAGCUUACCCGCUACAAAAGUUAUCACAGGAAAAUUGUCUAUCUGUAUUUACUCAACAUGCAUUAAGGGCAAAUGAUUUUAGUGGGCAUCCUGAAUUAAAAGAAGUUGGGGAAAUUAUAGUGAAAAAGUGUAAAGGCUUACCUUUGGCUGCUAAAGCCAUUGGUGGUUUACUACGCACUAGCCUGUACUAUGAGGCAUGGAAAGGUAUAUCAGAAAGCGAGAUAUGGGGCAUACCAGAAGAGGAAUGUGGCAUAAUUCCAGCUCUACGUUUGAGCUACCAUCAUCUUCCUUCACAUUUGAAGCGAUGCUUUGCAUAUUGCUCUAUACUCCAUAAAGAUUAUGAAUUCGGGGAGGAGGAAAUAAUCCUGUUAUGGAAAGCAGAAGGUUUUCUACAACCAGCAAGCCUUGGAACUCAACUCGAAGUUCUAGGUAGUCAAUAUUUUCGAGAUCUAGUCUCAAGGUCAUUUUUUCAAGCAUCUACUAGGAACAAAUCUCGAUUCAUAAUGCAUGAUCUUGUCAAUGAUCUAGCUCAAUCGGUUGCAGGGGAAAUAUGCUCCAAAUUGGAGGAUGAUAAACAGUUGAGAUUUUCGAAAGGUACUCGACAUUCAUCUUAUGUUCGUGGUCGUUAUGAUGGAAUGAAAAAGUUUGAAGCCUUAAAUCAAACAAAGCAUUUACGAACCUUUCUACAGUUUCCUGGAUCGUCAUGGGCACCUGAAGGUGAUUGUUAUUUAAGUAAGAAUGUCCUGGUUGAUUUACUGCCCAAACUUAGAUGCUUAAGAGUUCUUUCUUUGAAAGGGUAUCGCAUCAUUGAGUUACCAAACUUUUUUCAUAACUUAAUGCAUUUGCGCUACU
rnacentral:lncRNA from 1 species